rnacentral:ncRNA from 1 species
CUCGUGUUUGAUUCGUCGCAUGGCCGGGUUGAAAGGGGUAAAAGCUGGGGUGACGACCGGAUGAAAAAUCCGGGGGGCGAAGC